GUGGGGGUCCGUGUCGUGUCCGUGUGGGGUCCGUGUGGGGUCUGUGUGAGGUCCAUGUCCACCAAUGGCUAAGUGCCUGGGCAACGUGACAAAAUGGGAUAUAAAAGGCCGGGCAACUUGCAGGCUUUUCGCCGUCAGUAACACCAGUGGUUUUCGGCCGAUCUUAAGGAAAACUUGUGUAAAAAAAUAAAUAUGUGCGCGAUAUAAAUCUUUCUAAAAAGCAUUCUUUUUCUAAUUACUGCUAUGAGACCACCACAGGAAUACCGCAUUAUAAAGCCUUGGCUAUACGAUUGGGGCACGUCGUUUCUGUAUGAUUUUGCAUUUGAAGUUUCCUCUUUAAAACUUGUCCAGCGGGCAUGUUAAGAGUGUCGAAAACGGCUGCGUAAUAUAUAUUCUAAGACUCUUACCAUUUACCAUGCAGUACAACGCGAAAGUAAUUCGCAGAUUGUGCAUCGCACAAAUUGUUGUUGGCGCGUUGAUGUUUAUCGUCGGCGUUCUCGCGUUGGUAAAUUCAUUUACUCCUUUUUUGGAUGAGGAGAAGAUAGAUGAUGGUCGGAAUAUAAGAGAAGGUUUCCGAAACAUCAGUUUGGCCUCUGGGUCGGCGGUUGGGUACUCAGCAACGUGGAAGUCUCCCUGACCGGUCCGUUCUUGUGUGAUGCAGCAUGAUCGCUUCCAACGAAAAGGAGUCUUAACUCGCGCUAUUCAAAUAGCGCCCCCACCCCCUUGAUAAUCUCCAUCCCCAAAGUUUCGUCACUGAACUCCAUCUUGAGCUCCCCCACCCCUGCAAAUGACGCAUUGAGUUCGAUUUCGUACGAUUAAUUACUCUGAAAUUCCUCGGGUUUCCCGAGCGACCAAUUUAACAUAAGGGUUCUUCUAUGGAGUUCGAUUGCUGAACCUUUGAUUGAUUACGCCGGGAUUACAUGGUAUUUCCGAUGGCAGAAGAGUACGUUAUCGUAAGAUCGAGUUUAUCGUUCGAUCCAGUAUCGUCCACUGUAACUACUGAACACAUUAACUAAAGUCAUUGUGUUGAACAGGCAAUAGGCACUGGCGUUUUGGGAUAUGCCGGAGUUAAAAAUGACAACACUCCAAAUAAGUGCUUGGUGAGUAUUAAGUCGGUGACGGUAAGGAUGGAUGUAGUUCUGA